rnacentral:rRNA from 1 species
GACGAACGCUGGCGGCGUGCUUAACACAUGCAAGUCGAACGAAGUGGCGAACGGGUGAGUAACGCGUAAUCAACCUGCCCUUCAGUGGGGGACAACAGUUGGAAACGACUUCUAAUACCGCAUACUGAAGCUGGGGAUUGCGUCUGAUUAGCUGGUUGGAGGGGUAACGGCCCAACAAGGCGAUGAUCAGUAGCCGGACUGGGAGGAGGAACGGCCACAUUGGGAAUGGGAAAAGGCCCAGACUCCUACGGGAGGCAGCAGGGGGGAAUCUUCCGCAAUGGACGAAAGGCUGGCGGAGCAACGCCGCGGGAGUGAUGACGGCCUUCGGGUUGGAAAGCUCUGUUAAUCGGGGCGCGGUACCGGAAUAGAAAGCCACGGCUAACUACGUGCCAGCAGCCGCGGUAAUUC